UUAAGCGACUAAGCGUACACGGUGGAUGCCCUGGCAGUCAGAGGCGAUGAAGGACGUGCUAAUCUGCGAUAAGCGUCGGUAAGGUGAUAUGAACCGUUAUAACCGGCGAUUUCCGAAUGGGGAAACCCAGUGUGAUUCGUCACACUAUCAUUAACUGAAUCCAUAGGUUAAUGAGGCGAACCGGGGGAACUGAAACAUCUAAGUACCCCGAGGAAAAGAAAUCAACCGAGAUUCCCCCAGUAGCGGCGAGCGAACGGGGAGCAGCCCAGAGCCUGAAUCAGUGUGUGUGUUAGUGGAAGCGUCUGGAAAGGCGCGCGAUACAGGGUGACAGCCCCGUACACAAAAAUGCACAUGCUGUGAGCUCGAUGAGUAGGGCGGGACACGUGGUAUCCUGUCUGAAUAUGGGGGGACCAUCCUCCAAGGCUAAAUACUCCUGACUGACCGAUAGUGAACCAGUACCGUGAGGGAAAGGCGAAAAGAACCCCGGCGAGGGGAGUGAAAAAGAACCUGAAACCGUGUACGUACAAGCAGUGGGAGCACGCUUAGGCGUGUGACUGCGUACCUUUUGUAUAAUGGGUCAGCGACUUAUAUUCUGUAGCAAGGUUAACCGAAUAGGGGAGCCGAAGGGAAACCGAGUCUUAACUGGGCGUUAAGUUGCAGGGUAUAGACCCGAAACCCGGUGAUCUAGCCAUGGGCAGGUUGAAGGUUGGGUAACACUAACUGGAGGACCGAACCGACUAAUGUUGAAAAAUUAGCGGAUGACUUGUGGCUGGGGGUGAAAGGCCAAUCAAACCGGGAGAUAGCUGGUUCUCCCCGAAAGCUAUUUAGGUAGCGCCUCGUGAAUUCAUCUCCGGGGGUAGAGCACUGUUUCGGCAAGGGGGUCAUCCCGACUUACCAACCCGAUGCAAACUGCGAAUACCGGAGAAUGUUAUCACGGGAGACACACGGCGGGUGCUAACGUCCGUCGUGAAGAGGGAAACAACCCAGACCGCCAGCUAAGGUCCCAAAGUCAUGGUUAAGUGGGAAACGAUGUGGGAAGGCCCAGACAGCCAGGAUGUUGGCUUAGAAGCAGCCAUCAUUUAAAGAAAGCGUAAUAGCUCACUGGUCGAGUCGGCCUGCGCGGAAGAUGUAACGGGGCUAAACCAUGCACCGAAGCUGCGGCAGCGACACUAUGUGUUGUUGGGUAGGGGAGCGUUCUGUAAGCCUGUGAAGGUGUGCUGUGAGGCAUGCUGGAGGUAUCAGAAGUGCGAAUGCUGACAUAAGUAACGAUAAAGCGGGUGAAAAGCCCGCUCGCCGGAAGACCAAGGGUUCCUGUCCAACGUUAAUCGGGGCAGGGUGAGUCGACCCCUAAGGCGAGGCCGAAAGGCGUAGUCGAUGGGAAACAGGUUAAUAUUCCUGUACUUGGUGUUACUGCGAAGGGGGGACGGAGAAGGCUAUGUUGGCCGGGCGACGGUUGUCCCGGUUUAAGCGUGUAGGCUGGUUUUCCAGGCAAAUCCGGAAAAUCAAGGCUGAGGCGUGAUGACGAGGCACUACGGUGCUGAAGCAACAAAUGCCCUGCUUCCAGGAAAAGCCUCUAAGCAUCAGGUAACAUCAAAUCGUACCCCAAACCGACACAGGUGGUCAGGUAGAGAAUACCAAGGCGCUUGAGAGAACUCGGGUGAAGGAACUAGGCAAAAUGGUGCCGUAACUUCGGGAGAAGGCACGCUGAUAUGUAGGUGAAGUCCCUCGCGGAUGGAGCUGAAAUCAGUCGAAGAUACCAGCUGGCUGCAACUGUUUAUUAAAAACACAGCACUGUGCAAACACGAAAGUGGACGUAUACGGUGUGACGCCUGCCCGGUGCCGGAAGGUUAAUUGAUGGGGUUAGCGCAAGCGAAGCUCUUGAUCGAAGCCCCGGUAAACGGCGGCCGUAACUAUAACGGUCCUAAGGUAGCGAAAUUCCUUGUCGGGUAAGUUCCGACCUGCACGAAUGGCGUAAUGAUGGCCAGGCUGUCUCCACCCGAGACUCAGUGAAAUUGAACUCGCUGUGAAGAUGCAGUGUACCCGCGGCAAGACGGAAAGACCCCGUGAACCUUUACUAUAGCUUGACACUGAACAUUGAGCCUUGAUGUGUAGGAUAGGUGGGAGGCUUUGAAGUGUGGACGCCAGUCUGCAUGGAGCCGACCUUGAAAUACCACCCUUUAAUGUUUGAUGUUCUAACGUUGACCCGUAAUCCGGGUUGCGGACAGUGUCUGGUGGGUAGUUUGACUGGGGCGGUCUCCUCCUAAAGAGUAACGGAGGAGCACGAA
rnacentral:rRNA from 1 species